UACGGAGGGAGCUAGCGUUGUUCGGAAUUACUGGGCGUAAAGCGCACGUAGGCGGCUACUCAAGUCAGAGGUGAAAGCCCAGGGCUCAACCCUGGAACUGCCUUUGAAACUAGGUAGCUAGAAUCUUGGAGAGGUCAGUGGAAUUCCGAGUGUAGAGGUGAAAUUCGUAGAUAUUCGGAAGAACACCAGUGGCGAAGGCGACUGACUGGACAAGUAUUGACGCUGAGGUGCGAAAGCGUGGGGAGCAAACAGGAUUAGAUACCCUG
rnacentral:rRNA from 1 species